UUCCACCGGGAGCCGAGAAAAGACAGUCACGUUAAAGGGGACCGGGGACCCAGAGGGCACUGGAAGCCAGACCAGCCUACUCAAAUCCUUCAGAGGUUGGACCCGGUGGAGGGAGACUGAGGGCCGUGCAGGCUCUAGGCUCUGUGCUUCGGUAAUCUCGUGAGGUCUGGGUUGGGGCCAGAGAGUCUGGAUUGCUAACCGGCUCCCAGGUGCUGCAGCCACGGGACUGCCCUUCAAGCAGCAAGGAAAGGUGAGGAGGCCCCCUCCCCGGUCAGCUAUUUCUAGGGAUUCCGGUUUGCAUGCCUAACCCUCAGGGCCCGUCAGCUCCCCUGCCACUCCCGGCACGCAUCCCGUCGCCCUCUCAGCACCCUCUGUGCUCCCGUAGCGGGAAUUCACCUGCAGCUCCCGCAGGCACUGCCCUUCCAGCUGGAGACGCGCGUCACCCACACACCAGGCCAGACUGAUGUGGAAGGAGGGGUCCUGCGGAGGAAUAGCAGGGAGUAGGCGGUCACCUGGAUGCCUUGGCAGGUCCGGACAUGACCGUAGGUCUGUCACAGUGUUGUCACAGGAUCCCUGCUGGAUCCCUGGCCUGCUUCAUGAGAGACCAGACCCUCAGUGUUGAUCCCAAGCACCCUCUGCUGAUAGGGAAAACAGCCCGGGGCUGGCGCUUGCUAUGGGCUGAAUUGUGUCCCUCCCCCUCCCCCCACCCCCAAUUCAUAUGUUGAAGCCUUAACCCCCAAUGUAAUGGCAUUUGGAGGUGGGGCCUUUGGGAGAUAAUUAGGUUUAGAGGAGGGUAUCAAAAUGAGGUGCUCAUGAUGGGGUUCAUGCCUGUGUGAGAGCAGAAAGCUAGCUUCCUCUCUUUCCUCUGUAUGAGGACAAAGGGAGCAGACAGCUGUCUACAAGUUGGGAAGAGAGUCCACACCAGAAAUGGACCGUGAUGGCACCUUGAUCGUGGACUUCUAGGCUCCAGAAUUAUGAGAAAAUAAAUUUCUGUUGUUUAAACCA